CAUCAGCACUAAUAGACUGAGGACUUCUGCAGAAAGUGAAGAUUUCUUCUUACAGGAUCAAACUGCAGUUCAUGAGAUUUUGAAGCAGAGGCCACAGAUGCAUGUAGGUGCAUAAGGAAUCCAUGAGAAGGUGCCCAAGUGUGGGACCCUGGGUCGAUGCCAGUCAAUCAGGAUAUUUAUCUGGAAACCACCCUGCAAUUUGGAACUCCAGUAAACGGCAGUGUCAACAAUGAGGCAGGCCCCCACCCCACUUUUGCUGGACUAUCUUCUCCAUCUCCACAGAAACACAAACAAAAUGGAAGGAAGGAAAAGACACAAUAGGCAAAAUGUUAGGGAACAUUUGCCUUUUAGAGUUCCUGGCAGCUUUUCUGUUUAGGGGUACAAUUAUUGGGACAUUUAAAAUAUCAUAAGCAAGUAAGACGAAUGCUUUCUGGAAUUGGCACAACAUAGCCCAUCUACUCAUUUUAUAGAUAAGGAAACUGAGUCCCAGGUUAAGUCCGCAGAAGACAGGAAAAGAAUCAAAGCUGGUGAGAACAGAAUGAAUUAUCUGGGCAUUGCUGGAGGUGAGGCAAAAGACUGAAUGGGGAGCAGUUAGCAGCAGCAGGAGGCAGAUUUCACUAGUAAAAGAUUAUUAACAUUUGGUACUGCAUGUCAGUGAUAAAAUGAGCUAUGGUAUUAGUCAGGACUCGCUAGAGAAAUGGAAACAGUAAGACAUAUGUCUUACCAUAUAGUGACUCAUACAACUACGGAGGCUGCAAAGUCUCACUGUCUGCGAUCUGCAGCUUGGGGACUCAGGGAAGCUGGAGGUGUCAUUUAAAGCCCCGAGAGCCAGAGAGCCAGUGACAUGGGUUUCAAUCAGGGUCGGAAGUCCAGAGAACCAGGAGCACCGAAGGCAGGAGAGGAUGGAUGUCCUAGAUCAAGUAAGUAGGCAGAAGGAGUUCAAGAUUCCUGGACUUAUUUGCUCUAUUCGGGCCUUCAGUGGAUGGAUGGUGUUUUCCAACCCUGGGGAGGGCAGUACACUUAACUCAAUGAAUGCAUUGGUCUAAGAACACUUACGCAGGCCACCAAGAAGUGAUAUUCACCCAGCUCUCUGGAAGCCACAGCAGCACUUAGAAACUGGCUCACUAGCUAAUGGGGGAUGCUUUUAAACAUGGAGAAAGAAACUGGUGAGGUGAGAAGAGGGAUGCCUGGCCUGAGGACCCUUUAUGAACUCUUCCAAGUCUCUGCUUCUAACACGUGGUAAAGCAGCCAGCAAAAGGAAGUCAGAAUUCUUAUGUGAGUCACAUCAAUUCACCUGUUUCUGCAGCCAGUUCAAACUGCAGAGGCGGGAAGAUGGCAAAGAAGGGCAUUUGGAGUUCAAACCGCAAUGUCACCGCUCCCCGGCUGUGUGAUUCCAGGAAAAUCAUUGGCUGAGUCUCUCUGCCCUUGUUCCAAACAGGGCCUGUGUUGACUGAAUAAGAUAAUGUAUGUGUGAAGUCUUCUGAUAACUUGAUUAAUAAUAAUUAAAGAUGGAAAAUAGCAGCCAAACAUAGA